CAUGUUUCGGGUUUGUGCGUG
rnacentral:miRNA from 1 species